UACAGAGGUCUCAAGCGUUGUUCGGAUUUAUUGGGCGUAAAAGGCUUGUAGGUGGCCACGUCAAGUCGGAUGUGAAAUCUCCCGGCUCAACUGGGGGGCGUCGUGCGAUACGGUCGGACUGGAGGCCAGUAGGGGGAUGCGGAAUUCCGGGUGUAGUGGUGGAAUGCGUAGAGAUCCGGAGGAACACCAGCGGCGAAGGCGGCAUCCUGGACUGGUCCUGACACUCAUGAGCGAAAGCGUGGGGAGCGAUCCGG
rnacentral:rRNA from 1 species